rnacentral:lncRNA from 1 species
GCAGGUUAAAAGAGAGAGAUUCUCCUAAGUGUCAAUCCGGUCCUGCUGGCUCAGGAGAACAAAGCUGGGCUGGCAAAGUGAAUCAGAUAGCGUCCUGUGCACGCCCAAGCUUCAGAAUAAAGCCGGGUUCUUUGAAGAUGUGUUCAGAUGUUCCACAAUUUGAAUGGAGCUUGAAGAUGGAUAACAAUAAAAAUCAAAACUUUUGUGUAGAGGAACGCUAGCACACAUAGACAAUUAUCAUAAGUCAUAUCCCCAGGAAAAAUCUUAGGGAAUAUUUUGCUUUUACUCAUUGGUUAAAUCCACCAAAGGAGGCAGAAUGGUCUAUAAAUGUAGAGAGAACUUUAUUUCAUUAGAGUUUAAUGUGAUAUAUGGUACCCGAGUGAACCCUAAAGACUCCUGUGAAUUC